CAUCAUAUUCAUCUUUGAGCAGAUCCUGGUAGGUUCUAGAUUGAAUAACAUUCUUCUGCUCAUUAGAUUGAAUCUUGGGGCCAGAGGGAACCAAAGGUUUCCUUGGUGGAUCUCCACGAGAUAAUGGAAUGGUACAUACCAAAAGAGUUGAGUCAUUCACCCAAACAAAGCUGAUAAUAACAGAAACAGAGUUGUCAGGACAGGGAGAUGUAGCUUAGAAUCAGCAGACUUUGGGUACAUACCAAAAGAGUUGAAUCAUUCACCCAAACAAAGCUGAUAAUAACAGAGAACAGAGUUGUCAGGACAGGGAGAUGUAGCUUAGAAUCAGCAGACUUUCCUUUCAAUGACAGGCAGAAUAUGGAAAAUGACCUACUGGU
rnacentral:lncRNA from 1 species